rnacentral:lncRNA from 1 species
UUCCCUCCCCUUUUGGGAAUUAAUUACAUGGACAUAAUGUUGUGUUCUUUCUAUUAUAUGGAGUAAAAGGGAAAAUGAAAUAGAUGCACCAGUCAGUUUUCCCAUUCUUUGGUAGAGUAAUAGCAUCUUGAAACUCUGUCAAAUUAUACAGAUUUUAAUUUAGCACAUGUCUUGUUAAAAUAAAGCUAAGAAUAAAAAGAAAUGUGCCCAAAGAGGUGCUGAAAAGCUCUUUGCAAGCUGUAUUUUUUUUUUUGGAAGGAUGUUUUUAACGAUCUGUACAAAUUUUCUGAUCUUUGUUUACAGGCAUUUCUCUGACUAACAGAAAUGUAAAUAGCACAUAAAUUGAAUUUCCCCAUAGUGGAUUGAAAAGUGCUGCUGAAAUAACCAGACAGGAGAGACAACUAAUACAAAGAUCUAUAGCAGAAGCAGCAAGGAAAUCCAGGGCACAGCUGGGCAAACUGUACCCAUCAACCUUGAGUAGCCAGUGGUGAGGAAAGAAGAAAGAGAAACAUGCUCCAUAUAUAAUGAUGGAAA